ACCACUACCAGGCAGGGUUUGGUGGGGGCUUCUUUUAAAAAAUUCUUUUGCAGGUUUUUCAACAGCGGGCUGGGGGUGGGAUGCAUAGUUUAGAGCUGAGUGUGGCCUUGGGUAUGAUAUGCAGAGGCGGCUGUGGGGAAGCCACGUGGUCAGGCCAGAUAACGAGCUUGGGUGAUGACGUAGUUCUCAGGCGCGGAGAGGGAGGGAUGUGUCCGUCUGACUCCCGGAGAGGAAACCGGCCUUGCAGUUGUUGUUGUUGUUUGAUUCUGUUUCAUUUUCAUUUUUAUUUUAUUUUUAUUGAGACAGAGUCCUACUCUGUUGCUCAGGCUGGAGUACAGUGGUGUGAUCUCAGCACACUGCAACCUCUCCCCUCCAGUUCAAGUGGUUCUCCUGCCUCAGCCUGCUGGGUAGCUGGGAUUACAGGCACGUGCCACCACGCCCCACUAAUUUUUGUAUUUUUAGUAGAGAGGAGGUUUUGCCAUAUUGGCCAGGCUGGUCUCGAACCACCCACCUUGGCCUUCCUUUGCCCCAUUUGAAAAAAAUCAGUUGGCUUAAGUAUAUGAUGGGGUUCGCUAUUCUGUAUCUAGUCGUUCACCGAUAUCACAUUUUCUUUAUUACUGUGGCUUUACGUAAGUGUUUAGAUCUGGUUGUAUAACGUUUUAAACUUCGCUCUUCAGCCUUAUGUCAUCCAUUCUGGGUUUAGGUAGUUGUUUGAUUGUGAUUUGGCUUAAUCUAUAGAUCAAGUUUGAAAGAACUGUCACCUUCAGAAUAACGACUGUAUUUCUGGAAAACAAGUAAUAUCUCUGCAUUUACAUAUACAUAUAUAUUGUAAAUAUUUUUUGAGAUGGAGUUCAGCUCUUGCUGCCUAGACUGGAGUGCAGUGGCUCUAUCUCUGCUCACUGCAACCUCCACCUCCUGGGUUCAAGCAAUUCUCCUGCCUCAGCCUCCUGAGUAGCUGGGAUUACAGGCACAUGCCACCACACCCGGGUAAUUUCUGUACUUUUUAGUAACGACUGGGUUUCUCCAUGUUGGUCAGGCUGGUCUUGAAUUCCUGACCUCAGAUGAUCCACCUGCCUCGGCCUUCCAAAGUUCUGGGAUUACAGGCGUGAGCCACCAUGGCCGGCCUUAUAUAUGUUUGUUUUUAUUUAUCUCAACUGUGAUUCAUGGUUUUCUAAAGGCUUUUUUAUAUGCUUUGUGAGAUUUAUACUUAAUGGUUCGAUUUGGGGAGUGCUGUUGUAAAUGGUAUUUUAAUAUUUUAAGUUCUAAUUAUUCCUACACGUUAUUGUUGAUGCAAAAAAAAAAAAAAAAGAAAUCAGUUGAGUUUUGUCAAUUGUGCAUCUUCUUUGCUUCUUCUUAUCCCCGUUGGUUGUGAUCGAGGCACGGGAUGGUGGGCUUGAUUUCAGUUGAAAUUUCCAAAACUAUGGCCUGGAACAAUCCCAACACUGAAUUUCAGUGAUUCAGCAGGACUGCUGGAGAGGGUGCCCCGGCUGCUAGCGGGAGAUGUGGUGACCGCACUAAGAGGGCCCUGCAGUGGCCCUAGCCGCCAGCAGGGGGCGCCCGAUGCUGCGUUUUCAGAUCCCUGACGCUACGCAUGACGUCACGACGCGUAACGGCGCGCGUGGCGUCACGGCGCAUGGCGUCACGGCGCACGUGUCUGGCGGUCUGCCGAGUCGGGUUCUAGUAAGAGCAGACCUUGUGGGCACCGCGAGGGCGGAGCUGCGUUCCCUUCAGCACAGACCCGCGGGCACUGGGAAGGCAGACAGCGCUCUCAGCACAGACCCUGUGGGCACCGGGCCGCGUCCACGGUGAGUGAGUGAAAUCCUACCUGUUUGCAGCCCUGACUGCUGGGGCCGGAGACUAGGAAGAAGGUCUCGGUGUGGAAAACGACACCAGAAGCCCCCCUGAAUCCUGCCCGCCGAGGUUCUCCCCACCCCAGGCCAGUGGCCGCAGUGCGACGUCCACACUGGAGCCUCAGAACGCAAAUAGAGCGUCCCUAAGGCAGCCAAAAAGAAUGCUGGGAAACAAAGACAAGCAGAUACGUGAUCCAGUCACAAUCAAUUUGCUAUUUUAACUGUUUAAGUUACACUUUUGAAGACGUCCAGCUGUAAAUUGAAGUAGUUUCCAAAACAUGAAUAUUUUUUCCCUGGUUCUGAGCUGACCAACUUUCCUAGGGAGGGAAGUACACCACAAGAAAAAAGUAUUUCGGGACAGCCAGGACGGGUUGCACAUCCACUGAGAAACUGUGAGCAAGAGCGUCUGUGAGCUCUGGUGCCACCAGAGGGCGCACGAACCCACCCCUGACCAACUUCCCUCUGAGGUGCCAGAAGCAGCAAGGAGCUUCGACUUCCUCAGGGCAGCACCAGGGUCAUGUCAACUAAGUCUUGUUCAUUGGUGAGUAAAAAGCUUCCUUUCCAUGGCCCUGAGUGCAGAGCAGAGAGUCUUUAGAGUACUCAGCAAAGGAAGAAAUUCAUCUAGAAAAGUGAAAUCCCCAAAUCCCAUCCUUACCACUACACCCUGAUGUCAUUGUCAACGUCCCAGACACAGUGGCUGCUGAGAUGUGUUCUCACAGUGGCCUCCAAUAUAAUAAUCACACCGUGCCCUAACAUUACUGUGAUACCCGUUCCGUGCCCUAACACCAAUGUAAUAUCCACACCAUACUGUAACGCUAAUCUGAUAUCCACACCGUUGCCUCUGAUACUAACGUAAUACUAGCCACACCAUGCCCUAAUGUUCCCCAACACCAGUAUCAUAUGUACACCAUGCCCUAACAUUACUAUGAUGUCCACACCGUGCCCUAACACCAAUAUAAUAUCCACACCCUACCCUAAUGCUAGGCUGAUGUUCACACCAUUGCUUCUGAUACUAACGUAAUACUAGCCACACCGUGCCCUAAUGUUCCCCAACACCAGUAUCAUGUACACCAUGCCCUAUGCCCUAACAUUACUAUGAUGUCCACACCAUGCCCUAACACCAAUAUAAUAUCCACACCCUACCCUAAUGCUAGGCUGAUGUUCACACCAUUGCUUCUGAUACUAACGUAAUACUAGCCACACCGUGCCCUAAUGUUCCCCAACACCAGUAUCAUAUGUACACCAUGCCCUAACAUUACUAUGAUGUCCACACCAUGCCCUAACACCAAUAUAAUAUCCACACCCUACCCUAAUGCUAGGCUGAUGUCCACACCGUUGCUUCUGAUACUAACGUAAUACUAGCCACACCGUGCCCUAACAUUACUGUGAUACCCAUUCCGUGCCCUAACACCAGUGUAAUAUCCACACCAUACCCUAAUGCUAGGCUGAUGUCCACACCAUUGCUUCUGAUACUAACGUAAUACUAGCCACACCGUGCCCUAACAUUACUGUGAUACCCAUUCCGUGCCCUAACACCAGUGUAAUAUCCACACCAUACCCUAAUGCUAGGCUGAUGUCCACACCGUUGCUUCUGAUACUAACGUAAUACUAGCCACACCGUGCCCUAAUGUUCCCCAGCACCAGUAUCAUAUAUAUACCAUGCCCUAACGGUAAUAUCCGCACUGUGCUAUAACACUAUUGUAUCCACACAGUAGCCUCUAAUACUAAUAAAUAAUAUUUACUAAGUGGAGUCUGUUGACAUUGAGGCUUUUAUAAGGGUUCACAGGUUUGGAUGAGGCAUAGCCUCUGUAGUGGAUUUUGCUGAUGUCUUUGCUUUUCUGGCAUAGCAUUGAUAUGGUUUUAAAAAGUAAUUUACUUUUUAAUAAUGUCAUACUUCUAGCAAACUUCCAGUAGCAGUGCAAAAUAUAGCCUGUUUCUUUUGUUAGGUUCCCCAGCAGUCAUUGCUGUACCAGAUUUGCAGUGUCCCACUAAAUACUCUGGUAUGUUUUACCCAAAGCACGGACACUCUCCCAGGUUACCACCACAUGACCCCUCGAUCAGGAAAUCAGCACGCUACAUGAUAAUUCAGUUCACAAACUCAUUUCACUUUUACCUCCUGCCCCAUCUGGGAGUAUAAUGUGUUUUUUAUUCUGAUCCAGUUUUCCUGGCACUGUUUCCAGGACUUUCCUGCAUAUUUAUGAUCUUGACACAUUUAAAGAGCAUACAGGUUUUUGUUUGAACACCUUUGUUUUCAGGUCUUUGGGGUAUAUACCUAGGAAUGGAAUCACUGAGUCAUACAGUAAAUCUAUUUGUAACUGUUUGAAGAAACACCAAAUUAUUUUACACAUAGGCUGCACCGUUUCAUAUUGUCACAAGCAGUGUUUCAUAGUUCAAGUUUCUGCACAUCUUUGUCAACACUUGUUUUCUUUUAGUGUAACUAUUCUAGUGUGAGUUAAGGGAUAUCUCUUUAUGGUUGUAAUUAUUACUAAUGAUGUUAAGCAUCUUGCUUCUUGGUGCAGUGUGUGUGAAAGUCCUUUGUCAAUUUUUAGGUAGGGUUGUCUUCGUUGUUGAGUUAUAAAAAUUAUUUAUAGAUUCUGGAUAACAGACACUUACAAAGUAUCUAAUGUGCAGAUUUUUUCUUCCAUUUUGUGGGUUACUGGAAAAUAACAAGAGUUCAUGUGUGAUCUCUGCUGUGGGGUCCUGAGACAGAGCUCUAAGACUUUGGGAUGUAUGAAGUGAUGUGUCUUUCGUGUGCUCAUGAGAUGACUGAUGGCUGGGGGCACCUGGACAGCCUCUGUGGGGCUGGCUGCCAAGGGCACCAACCUUGUCAUUGGAGGAUUUGAAAUUUCAUCUCCCCUCCCAUCUCUGUGAAGAGGAGAGGUGCUGAUGGUUGAGUUGAUCACCUGUGGCCACUCAUGUAAGCAAUCUGCCUACGUAAUAAAGGACCGGGCUGGGAGAGUGCGAGCUUCUGUGUUGCUGGACUUGGGGAGAUGCUGGGAGGAUCAUAUCUGGAGAGGGCAUGGGAGGCCUGCACCCCUUCCACAUACUUCACAUUGUGCCUCUCUUUAUCUGACUGUUCAUUUGUAGCCUUUAAAAUAUCCUUGACAGUAAGUGAGCAUUAGUAAGUACACUGUUGUCAUGGGUUCUGUAAUGUGCUGUAGUAAAUUGCUGAACCCAAUAAGGGUGUUGUGGGAGCCUCCAAUCUGUGGCCAGGUCAGACAUAAGGCAACUGGGAACCUACUAUUUGUAAUUGUCAUCUUAUAACUAAGUACCCGUAUUUUCUUAAAGAAGGAAUGAAUUACUUUUACUGUUUUUCUUGUCCUAUGCUUCCUACUUAGCUCUUUAGGAAUGCAAUUAUAAGCUUUACUGUCUCUCCACAAGAUACUUGCUACACUGCAAGCUUUUCUGUGUGUUGACUUAGAAGUUCCAGGGACCAAACUCUACAAACUAGGUGUCUCUGGAACUCUCCACUACCAGGAGAUUGCCAGGAGACAGCAGUCAGUUUACAACCUAGCUCUGCCCAUGGUGCAAGACCACCUAAUGGAUGAAACAUCAGAGCAAGUCCCGCAGACCCUGCACCUCCUCACCCCUGCAUGCCAUUCUGCCAAGUCCAUUUUUUAAA